rnacentral:tRNA from 6 species
AUCCGUCGAUUUUCAAAAUCGUGAGGGUUCAAGUCCCUCUAUCCCCAAAA